rnacentral:lncRNA from 10 species
AGCAAUCAGCGAGACUCCGUGGGCAUAGGACCCUCUGAGCCAGGUGCGGGAUAUAAUCUCGUGGUGCACCGUUUUUUAAGCCAGUCUGAAAAGCGCAAUAUUCGGGUGGGAGUGACCCGAUUUUCCAGGACAGUGCUAGGACUGCUUUUUUCUAUAUCAGACACGUGGGCUCCUGCUGUGUCUUCCUGGAAAGCAGAGGCCAAGGAUGGAGCAGACCAAGAGGAUGCCAGGAAAAAUCACAAAGAAGCCCAGAAAGCACAGCUGGAAGCCAAGAACCCUAUUUUUGGUUUGUGUGGGUGGAAGGUGAGGGACAACAUAUAGUGACCAACAGGAUUCUUCAUUUGAAAGAGAAUGGAGUACAUCAGACCUGUGUAUUUAGGUGAAGUAUGAUAAACAUCAUCAUACUUCAAAGAUUAUGAACAUCAAAGAUUAUGGAAAGGAACAUGACUGCUUAGUUUAUUCCAUUACCAGUGAUCUGCUUGUUUGUUCAUUUGCUUACCCAUCCAUUCAUUUAUUCAUUCAUUCCUCCAUCCAUUCUCUUUCACUUAUUCUACAAUCAUGAUUGUAUGC